rnacentral:rRNA from 1 species
AUGUGGAAGUUUGCUACAACCAGCGGCGGCACGCUUGCAAAGCUUCAUCCACGAGGCGAAGAUGGUACGACCGGCACACCAAAAUGCUUCGACCACCAUUUCUUUGUUGGAGCCAGUCAAGCGUCGGCUGCGAGAGUCGACGCGGCGGAGCUGCAAACCACGGCAAAAAUGUUACAAUCGGCGUACAAAAAUGCUACGUCUAACAUAUCUUUUGCUGGAACCAGUCGAGCAUCAGCGACGACGGCGAGGCGGAGCUGCAUCGACAACAAAAAUUGCUACGACCAGCCUGUGCUUUUGCUGGAACCAGUCGAGCGCCCACGACGACGGCGAGGCGGAGCUGCAUCCAUAACAAAAAUUGCUACGAGCAACAUCUAUUUUUGCUGGAACCGGUCGGGCGUCGACGAUGACAGCGAGGCGAAGCUGCAUCCACGACAAAAAUUGCUACGACCGACAUCUAUUUUUGCUGGAACCAGCCGAGCGACGGAGAGGCGGAGCUGCAUCCACAAUAAAUUUUGCUACGACGGGCUUAUGUUUUUGCUGGAACCAGCAUGA